CUUCCUGGAUGUGGGAAACACUGACAUGAAGUACAAGAACCGUGUUCGGAGCCGAAUCUCUAACCUGAAAGAUGCCAAGAACCCUGGCCUACGCCGGAAUGUGUUGUGUGGUGCCAUUACACCCCAGCAGAUAGCUGUGAUGACAUCAGAGGAGAUGGCCAGUGACGAGCUGAAGGAGAUCCGCAAGGCUAUGACCAAGGAGGCCAUCCGAGAGCACCAGAUGGCCCGUACAGGUGGCACACAGACCGACCUGUUCACCUGCAACAAGUGCAGGAAGAAGAACUGCACCUACACGCAGGUCGGGGCCUACACCAUCCUCCAUCCUCCUGUCUAGGGGCCGCAGGGUGCACUCCUCCUCCUCUUGGGUAUCACCUGUGUCCCUGCUUUUGGCCUGAGGCUCUAUGCCAGGGCUCGGUGGCUUGCCCAUGCCUAUCACGGAGGGAUGGGAUAGGAGUAGAACAUGCUGUUUGUCAGUAGCUGUGGGACCUUGAGGUCCUACUAUGGAGGUGGAAGCUGAGGUACUCUAGGAAGGCUAUGUGGUUUCCAUGGGACAUUGGGAGCUUGGGAAGAGGGGACUAAACUAAGAUGGUCUCUCUGGUAGAAGCUCUAGGGCUUAUGGGAACUUCCAUCAUCUGCAAUAGGCUGCAGAGGGCUGGACCUGAGGGGCAGAGCAGCUCAGUCCCCACAGCUCAGGCCCUGUGGGAUGUUUGCUGUUGAGUCCCCAAGGCAUCUCUGAUCCUUUUACUUUCUAGACCCUCCUGUUGGGAAUCCUGCACUUA
rnacentral:lncRNA from 1 species